rnacentral:rRNA from 1 species
UACGUAGGGGGCUAGCGUUGUCCGGAAUCAUUGGGCGUAAAGCGCGUGUAGGCGGUCCGGUAAGUCCGCUGUGAAAGUCGGGGGCUCAACCCUCGGAUGCCGGUGGAUACUGUCGGGCUUGAGUACGGAAGAGGCGAGUGGAAUUCCUGGUGUAGCGGUGAAAUGCGCAGAUAUCAGGAGGAACACCACUUGCGAAGGCAGCUCGCUGGGACGUUACUGACGCUGAGACGCGAAAGCGUGGGGAGCAAACAGG